rnacentral:rRNA from 1 species
GGAGGAAAGUAGGGGAUCGCAAGACCUUGCGCUCUUUGAGCGGCCGAUGCCUGAUUAGCUAGUUGGUGAGGUAAAGGCUCACCAAGGCGACGAUCAGUAGCUGGUCUGAGAGGACGACCAGCCACACUGGGACUGAGACACGGCCCAGACUCCUACGGGAGGCAGCAGUGGGGAAUUUUGGACAAUGGGGGAAACCCUGAUCCAGCCAUGCCGCGUGAGUGAAGAAGGCCUUCGGGUUGUAAAGCUCUUUCAGCCGGAACGAAACGGUCACGGCUAAUACCUGUGACCACUGACGGUACCGGAAGAAGAAGCACCGGCUAACUACGUGCCAGCAGCCGCGGUAAUACGUAGGGUGCAAGCGUUAAUCGGAAUUACUGGGCGUAAAGCGUGCGCAGGCGGUUUUGUAAGUCAGAUGUGAAAUCCCCGGGCUUAACCUGGGAACUGCGUUUGAAACUACAAAGCUAG